AUACGGAGGGUGCGAGCGUUAUCCGGAUUUAUUAGGUUUAAAGGGUGUGUAGGCGGGAGCCUAAGUCAGUGGUGAAAUCUCACAGCUUAACUGUGAAACUGCCAUUGAAACUGGGUUUCUUGAGUAUAGUUGAGGUAGGCGGAAUGUGUAAUGUAGCGGUGAAAUGCAUAGAUAUUACACAGAACACCGAUUGCGAAGGCAGCUUACUAAGCUAUUACUGACGCUGAUGUACGAAAGCGUGGGUAGCGAACAGGAUUAGAAACCCGGGUAGUCC
rnacentral:rRNA from 1 species